GACGGAGGAUGCAAGUGUUAUCCGGAAUCACUGGGCGUAAAGCGUCUGUAGGUGGUUUAAAAAGUCUACUGUUAAAGCUUGAAGCUUAACUUCAAAAAAUGCCGUAGAAACUUUUAAACUUGAGUAUGGUAGGGGUAGAGGGAAUUUCCAGUGGAGCGGUGAAAUGCGUAGAUCUUGGAAAGACCACCAAUGGCGAAGGCACUCUACUGGGCCAUGACUGACACUAAGAGACGAAAGCUAGGGGAGCAAAUGGG
rnacentral:rRNA from 1 species